UUUCUUUCUCUCUCUCUCUUUCUCUCUCUCUCUGUCUCUCACUCUUUCUCUCUCUCUCUCUCUGUCUCUCUCUCUCUCUCUCUCACUUUCUUUUUCUCUCUCUCUGUCUCUCUCUCUCAAUCUUUUUGCCAUAUGCCUAACAAGGUCUGACUCUCCAGUCCUCACCGCUCUUCUCCUGCCAAUCAGUCUGUCAUCAGCCCAUCAGCUGUGUCUUUAGUGAUUGUUUAUCUCUCCCCUAUCGCUCAUUCUGUUUCCUCACUAGCUCACAGUCCUACUGCUCUGUUUCCCUUAUUAAUCCUCUCUCUCUCUCUCUCUCUCUCUCGAUCCUCGCUCACCUGCAGCAGAUAAAAAUUCCUCUUUUCUCUCUCCAGAGGAUUUCAUUGUCUCCCGGGGAGUUAUUGCAUUCCUCCCGAGAUAAACUAGGCCUAUUUACUAACCCUUCCUGUUACAGCACAGCGCUCACCUGCCGCUCCCCCGCCCCCGCUCCUGCCGUGCAAUGGAAUCUCCCACCUCCAUAGCUGCAGGGCUGGGCCGACUCUCCCAACCGCUCGGCGCAGGGGGAGACCUCAGGCAUCAGCUGACUGAUUUAUGGCUUACUAAACUCAUCUUUCCAGAUAACUGCAGUGUAAAAGAGGUGAAGGACCAAAAAAAUAAUCCACACAAAGAGAAUCAAUACGUUCUUCUCUUGUCAAAGGUUAUGGUGGAUCUGGAGCCUAUCCCAGAACACCGGAACACACCCUGAGCAGGAUGCUGGUCAGACCACACACGUGCUCAAACACACCUAUUCCGGCAUGUUUUCGGAAAGUAGGAGGAAACGGGAGAACUCAGAGGAAAUCCACGCGACACAGAGAGAACAUGCCACAGUGACCCAGGCAGCCUGGAGCUGUGAGACAGCAGCACUACCACCAUGCCACCCUUCUACAGUGACACCAGUCCUAAAUAAAGAUUUUGAUUAAUGCUAAUACAAUAAAAUGCAUUAUUUAAAUAGAUUAUAAUCCUAGACAUAAUAAAAUAUGAUCAUUAUGAACUGUAAAGUUGGAAGUCACUCAUUAGAUUGGUGUGUGCGGAAGGUAGCUCAUGUUUUGGAAAUUUUAUUCAGAAAAAAAACAAAGAACAACAUCCUGUUGUAUAUCAGUAUAUCAAGGAAAUACACUAACUGGGGGGAAAAAUAAAGAUCGAAAUCACUUCCUGGAGGAAGUUUCAUCAUUCUGAAGUGUGUUUGGAUUGUAAAAGAUACAAAACGGUGCAAUAAACAUCUCUUUAUCUUAUCAC